UGCAGUCGACGCUGAAGCCGACAGCUUGCUGUUGGUAGAUGAGUGGCGAACGGGUGAGUAACACGUGAGUAACCUGCCCCUGAUUUCGGGAUAAGCCUGGGAAACUGGGUCUAAUACCGGAUACGACCUUUCCUCGCAUGAGGGUUGGUGGAAAGUUUUUCGAUCGGGGAUGGGCUCGCGGCCUAUCAGCUUGUUGGUGGGGUAAUGGCCUACCAAGGCGACGACGGGUAGCCGGCCUGAGAGGGCGACCGGCCACACUGGGACUGAGACACGGCCCAGACUCCUACGGGAGGCAGCAGUGGGGAAUAUUGCACAAUGGGGGAAACCCUGAUGCAGCGACGCAGCGUGCGGGAUGACGGCCUUCGGGUUGUAAACCGCUUUCAGCAGGGAAGAAGCGAAAGUGACGGUACCUGCAGAAGAAGUACCGGCUAACUACGUGCCAGCAGCCGCGGUAAUACGUAGGGUACGAGCGUUGUCCGGAAUUAUUGGGCGUAAAGAGCUCGUAGGUGGUUGGUCACGUCUGCUGUGGAAACGCAACGCUUAACGUUGCGCGUGCAGUGGGUACGGGCUGACUAGAGUGCAGUAGGGGAGUCUGGAAUUCCUGGUGUAGCGGUGAAAUGCGCAGAUAUCAGGAGGAACACCGGUGGCGAAGGCGGGACUCUGGGCUGUAACUGACACUGAGGAGCGAAAGCAUGGGGAGCGAACAGGAUUAGAUACCCUGGUAGUCCAUGCCGUAAACGUUGGGCACUAGGUGUGGGGGACAUUCCACGUUCUCCG
rnacentral:rRNA from 1 species